rnacentral:misc_RNA from 1 species
CAUUUGAGGGUCCUUACUCUAAACUGUAUCAAAAGGGACACGUUCUUUCUUCUUCUUCAUCUCUUUUUCUUUUCUUCUCUUCCCACUUCUACACUUUUCUUGUUAAUUCUCAGGCAAUUCAACAUGGGUGAUCAAAUAGUUAUCAACAACUGCCACCGUGAAACUAGCAGCGAUCAAGGUUUUGUUAUAGACAUAUACCCUCUUAGUGGCUACUACUUUGGAUCCAAAGACCC